rnacentral:lncRNA from 1 species
AUUGAUAUGUUAUCUCUCAUGAUUAAAGAGUUUCACAAGAGAAAUAGUUUUCUUCUCGAAGAAAUAAUUAUAAUUUUUCGACGGAAUGAGAUGAGAUUACAUACUAAUGAAAGAAGUACUCAUCUAUUAUGACUAAGAAUUUUAUUGUAAUAGCUUGGGUGUGUCUAUCAACAAAUGUCUUGUAGACUUAGAAAUGAUGUAUGUAUUAAUUAGAGUUAUACUCUGAAAAAUAAAGAAUGAGAAAUAUCAUGGAUUUUCUUUGUAGAAAAAGGUGCAAUAUAAUGAGUGUGGAAUGCUUGUUGGCCACUGCAGUAUGAACUGAAGGUAGAUGAGAUUAGUUUACUAUGUAUCAGUUGAACUCUCUCUCUACUGAAUAAAAACAGUUUUGAGGAACCUGCCCUCACUCUUCUGCUAUGCUGUAAUUUUGAUGUAUGGGGACCAAAUGCUUUGGCAAUGUGGUUUGAUUUAUGGAACACCUUUGAUUCAAAGGGAGAUCAACUCAUCACUUCUGAAGGGAUAUUGGAAAGGGAUUCCUCUUUCUUCCCCAGAAACUUGAAUGCACAGCAUAUAGGUGAUGUCCAUCACAAUACAAACAUAUUGAAGUAUACAAAUCUAAGUGGUAUGGUUCAACAAUGGCAAUAAGCCAUAACAUUUCAUUGGAUGGGUCUUUUUAGGCUUAUGGAAGAUAAUAUUUUUAAUUAAAUUAAGAGCAUUCAAUAUUUAUUUGUAGAAGUUAUUAAAUAAGGUAAGUCAAUUGAAAUUAAUACUGCAAGGAGAAAUAGAA